UGUAAUCACUGAGGUUACCUAUAAUUUAUUUAUAUACCUAUCCACUUAAUAUUGUUGCUUGUUUUUAUUUAUAGUUAUUUGUACAAUUAUUACUUAUAAAUAUAAUUAUAAUAUACUAUAACCAAUUAAAUAGAUACCUAAAUAUGUUUACAUAAAAUAUUGUGUAUGUGUGUGUAUUAUGGGAAUAUAUGGACAUAAUACAUUUUAACUAUUGCAUUCGUUAAAUAUUUAAGUUAGUUUUAACCACGAUGAAUGACUUAUCAACACUCGCUAUACUAUAUUUCAGUAUACACACUACACAAUCCAAAGGAAAUGACAUUCUUUUUUCGGGUUAGCAUGCAAUUGUAGGUAAAUGUAGAUUUUGCAAUUCUAUAUUAUAUCGGUAUUAAUUUUUUUUGUUUUUUUUUCCAUCCAUUAAUUCCAAUAUAAUUUGUUUGUAUUCGUGAUAACCUACCAUUUAUAUUGACUUAAGCGUUAAGAAUAUUAUUAAUGAAUAGGGUGGAUGGAAUGAUCUCAAUAAUAUAUGCUACAUUUUUUCAACCCCUUCUUAAUUUAUUUUAUAAAAACAACAUUUUUAAUGUCAUCCAAUUAUGUAUAACUAAAAUCCGUCAACAUUCUAUUAAGCUACUCUCGUUUUAAUAUUCAUUCGUAGAGUUAUAAAAAACAAAUAGAACUAUUUUUAACAUUAAUCAAUCUAUUAAUUUAAUUAAAUAUCUGUAACCAAUGUAAUAUCAUGUCUGUGUUACCUUCAUGUGUUUAUAUAUUGUAUCUAUUUUAUUAUAUUAGGAAUUGUUCGGGUGUCAUUAAUUUAUAUAUAAACAAAUAUUUAAUAUUAUGAUUUAUGAGUUAUGACCAUACUGAUGAUUGCUGAUCGGUUCCUUUGUUCGACCGGCAUCGGAAAUUGGAAUGCGGCGUGCUAUCACAGUCCGAGACGUGUACGGUGUGUAGCAACAUAAUAUUUAAAUAGCGCUGCAAUGUCAAGGACCCUGCAUGUUGUGAACAUUCAUAAAUCAUAAUUGUUAUCCUCGAUUGAACAGACUAUUUCCGUACAUGUAAGUUGGACAUGUCAUGCAUUUAUCAGCCUCUACAUAAUAAUUAUGUGUCAAUGUGUUAUUGUUAUAUUAUAAUUUUAUUAAUAGGUAAUCUACCUACUUAGUAUAUCAGUCACAUUAUGUAUUCAUUAUGAAUUAUGUUUUGUUUAAUAGUCAAAAAAAGAAGAUAACAUAAAAACAACCUUCUAUGGAUGUGUAUAUUAUUACUAAAUGUAUGUUGUUUCUUCGCUUAUAAGCUUAACUACCAAUAUAAUUAAAAUACAGUAAAAUCCCGUUACAACGAACUCCAGGAAACCAAAUUUUUUUUCGUCAUAACGGAAAUUUCGUUGUAACGAAAAUUCGAAUAAGCUCUUUAUAAGCCCUGCUUUUCGGCAGGGAACUUCUAUGACUCGUUAUAACGGGAUUUUUCCUUGUAUUGGUAUUCGUUGUAACGGGAAUUUAUUGUAUUUGUGGGUAUUUUCUUGAAUCAAAUAAGAUUCCUGCUGCUGUUAUCGCUUUAUAGCUGUUCGAUUACACUAUUAAUUUGUAGGAUCCCUGUUAUGUUAGAAAUGAUAAUCAUGCCGAUAAAGGGUAAUUCAUUUAACUCAUUAUUUUAGAAAACACUUGUUUCUAAAUAAUUAUAAAUUGUUAUAAAACAACAUUAUUGGAAGAAAAUAAAAUUGUUAUUACUUAUAUCGUCAUUUUUUUUGUUAGACAUUUUUUUGAAUGACAACAUACAUUUUUAAUUUCAAAUACUGAAUCAUAAUAUAUAAAUAUUAUUUGGAGUACAUUGAUCUGUUAAACAUCUGUAGAAGUACUCCAAAAAAAUAUCUAUUUUAUAAAAUGGAAUUAAAAAUACCAAUUAAAAAUAUUUAAAAAAAUGUUUAUAUAGUUUUUGAAAUAAUAAAUGUCUAAAUGAAAUGAAUAUUAAAUGGAUCACCCGGUUUUAAACCAUAUAGAUACAUCGAUAUAAGACUUGUAUAGCUCCGUGAUUUAUAAUAAUCGUUUAUUCUAGUCUUCUUUUCAUAAUUUUAGUAGCCCGAUUCAUCUGCACAAAUGAAUGCGGCCGAUCGUAUAAAUACAAGCAAGGAUUGGGACGACAUCGAAAAUAUGAGUGUGGUAUAGAUCCGAAGUUCGAAUGUUCGAUGUGUAAAAAAAGGUUUAAGCAGGCUUGCAACGUCAAGUCUCAUUUUGUAAAUUUUCACUAAAUUAUUAUUUUGGAUUGACCAAAUAGUUUUCGUGUACAUGAGUUGGAUGUGUCAUGUGUUUUAUCAGCAUAUAAUUAUAUGUCAUCGUUGUAUAGUAAAUAAUAAUAUUAUAAUAUUAUUGCAUUUUGUUUUUUUUUAAUAUGAAAAUUUAUUAUUUGUACAAAAUAUACUAUGCGUACAAUAAGUAAAUCUUAUGAGGGAAAAAAUUAGGAAGCAUGAACGAGUCACCCAGUGACAGUACUCUAGGGUCCACAAUAUUAUCGUAUUAUUAUCGUAUGUAUGUCUUAUAAAUAGGUAACCUUCUUGCCUAGUAUAACAAUUAUAUAAUUGUAUUAAUUAUGGAUUAUUUUUAUUUUAAUGUCAAGUCAAAAAAAUAAGAUAAAAUAAAAAUAACCUUCUCUAAAUGUUUGUAUUAUUUCUAAAUAUAUAUUUUGUGUCACCGUUUAUAAACUUAACUAUAUCUACAAUUAAAAUGUCUGUGUGUACAUGAUUCAUUCAUAGUUACACUAACAUAAUGUAUACUUUAAAGUUUAAAGAUUGUCCUGAGUGUCUUUACUAACAACAAUACUUUGUACUUGUAAUAACUAAUAAUAUAAUUAGUAAAAUAUUAUAGUAUUUAUAUAAGCCGUGGUAUAUACUUAUACUCUUAUGACGUCAGGAUCCAAAAUAAUCGCCUGUCCACACUACCGAUUAUAAUUGCAGUGUCUGGUUCAUGUGCUUGAAUGGAGGGCGCGGCUUGUUUUACUAAUACAAAUAUGAAUUGGAAUGGCAUCAGUAAAUCAAGUGCGGCAUGUUCCUUCAAUUUGAAUGUCCGGUGUACAGCAAAAUGUCCAAAUAGUUCGUGGGCAUUAAAAGACAUAUUCAGAACAUUUACAACAGUAUCUUCGAUUGAGUACCUAUCAACCAAACCAACCUACUACCCGCAGUCGUCUUAUACGAUUUGGUCACUUACAUAAUACCUAUCAAAUUUUUUGUUUAUUAUACUGAUUAAAUAUUUGAUAUAAUUACCUAAUUAGGUAGGUACGUAUUUAGCUAUAAACGUCACUGUAUUAAAAAAUAUAUAUAAAUAUAUUUAUUUGAGUUUUUUAUUUUAAUAUGCAGUCAAAAGAAAAAAAAUUAAAUAAAAAAUGAUCUCAUAGAUAUGUAUUCUUAUCUAUUUAUACGAUUAAAACAAUUGCAGGUUGUACUCUUAAAUUAGUUAAAUCAAUUACUAUUGUUACUUCUAUACCUGCGUGCAUUCGUGGUUACAGCCACUUGAUUUGACCACACUUUAUAUUAAUUUAAGACCCAAAUAGAGUUUACUGACGACACAACUAUGCUUGUUAUAGUAUUAACUUAAAUAAGUAAAAGCAGUACAAAAUAUAGUAUAAUAUAUAAACCAUAAUCAUAUGACGUCGUGAUCUAUAUUAAUCACUUAUCCGUGUUAACGUUUAUGAUUAUAGUGUCUCGUUUCGUGUGCCCCAGCAAAUGUGGCAGGUCUUACAAAUACAAGAAGGGAUUAAACCAACACCUGCACUACGAGUGCGGCAUACCACCAAAAUUCAAGUGUUUGCUGUGUAACAAAAAGUUUAAGCAGCGUAGUUCCAUCAAGCUCCACUGUUUGAACGUUCACCGUAUCAAUUGAGUAGACAAUUUCAUUGGAAUUUAAUUUAAUGAACAGUUAUUGUUUUUUAUUUUAUAGGAGAUGAUUGUAUACCUAUUUUACAAAUCGUAAUAUGGUUUAUCGCAGGGGUGGUAUAUCGUAUAUUAGAUUUUUUUUUUUUUUUGUACAGUUAAAAUAAAAAUUAACUUUUAUAUGUGUAUUAAUUUACUAAAUAAUAACAUGUUAUUUCAUCUUUGUAUUAUACCGAACUAUACAAUUAAAAUGAAUACACAUAAGAUUCGUUACUCCAAUCUGCAGCUGUUUUUUGCCUUAAAACACAAUUGCACUGGCCACUGAAUCUAUACUUGGAGGAAUCUAGAGAAGUCUCGAUUCGUCUGUUCAAACGGAUGUGGCAGGUCUUACAAGUAUAAGAAUGGAGUUAUGCAACACCUACGUUACGAGUGCGGUAUACCGCCAAAAUUCAAGUGUUCGCUGUGUGACAAAAAGUUUAAGCAGCGUAGUUCCCUCAAGCUUCACAGUACUAACGUUCACCGUACACUAAUCGAUUGAGUAAAGGAACCGUUUUACUAGAAUUCAGUUUAAUUUACAGUUAUUAUUUUAUGUUUAAUAGGAGGUAAUUUGUUUAAAAAUUUUAACCGUGGCAUUAAAUUAAUUUUUAUUUCUUCUUUUAAUGUGCAUAGUGCAAUCAAAAUUAGAAGGUACAAUAAAAAUUACUUAGUAGACGUGUAUUAAUUUUCUUGAUAUAGUAGCAUGUUGUUUCACCUUAUAAUAUAUGGUACUUACUUAUAUUUAAAAUCAAUGUAUAUGAAUCAAAUAAGAUUUUUACUCAUAUCUGUAGCUGUUUGAGUCUCAUACGUUUAUUACAUACUAUGUACUUUA